rnacentral:lncRNA from 1 species
CCCUAAGAUGAUCCUCAACUUUUCUUGAUUUAACUACCAUGUCAUCUACGUAGACCUCCAUCGUGUCCCCGAAUUUCUCUUUAAACAUCAUGUUCACUAACCUCUGGUAUGGUUACAUUCCGUUCCUAAGACAUUGACAUAUCCGUAUUGAUUACUUUUUGACAUUUUUUGCACUUUGAUGUUAUAAAUUCCGUUACGAUUGUUUCAAAUUUUUGGUCUAGAAUUAUGUGUGCUACCAUAUACCAGCUGUAGAGCUUCCUAGGUUUUCGGGGCCUUAUAAUUUACCAUAGCUUACCUGUACAAUAAUACGAUACAAUAUUUUAUAGUUAAAACCUUUGAUGAAGAUGUUGUAUGUGAGAUAGGUUUUAUAAGUAAUAUGCGAGAAUAAGCUACAUGUGAAGCUCGAGCUAUGCGCAUUAACCCACAAUAAGAUUGAGCGCUUUGGUCACCGAAAGGGGGAAGGAGUGCUAAGGAUGUAUGGGAAAAGGUUAAAGAUCUUCAAGAAUGGGAGAUUUGAAGAAGGUAAAAAUUUUAGAUGAGUUUGAUUGAGGUUUUGGGUAAAAACAUGAUUGUUUACAAGUUUUUUGUGUUGGAGUGGUAGUCGGUUUGGUUUAGAGUAAAAAAAAAACAUGUAUGGAUUAAAUGAGGAGGCAAAAUGAAAAUUCUUUUAUCCAAUUGUUAAAGACCAUAUUAUUGAUCUAAGUGUUUAUUAUUCUAG